UACGAGGGGGGCGAGCGUUGUUCGGAAUUAUUGGGCGUAAAGGAUGCGUAGGUGGAUAUUUAAGUGGGAUGUGAAAUACCCGGGCUCAACUUGGGUGCUGCAUUCCAAACUGGAUAUCUAGAGUGCAGGAGAGGUAAGUGGAAUUCCUAGUGUAGCGGUGAAAUGCGUAGAGAUUAGGAAGAACACCAGUGGCGAAGGCGACUUACUGGACUGUAACUGACACUGAGGCAUGAAAGCGUGGGGAGCAAACAGG
rnacentral:rRNA from 1 species